GACGAACGCUGGCGGCGUGCUUAACACAUGCAAGUCGAACGAUGAAGCCUAGCUUGCUAGGUGGAUUAGUGGCGAACGGGUGAGUAAUACGUGAGUGACCUACCUUUGACUCUGGGAUAAGCCUGGGAAACUGGGUCUAAUACCGGAUACGACCAAUCUCCGCAUGGGGUGUUGGUGGAAAGCGUUAUGGAGUGGUUUUAGAUGGGCUCACGGCCUAUCAGCUUGUUGGUGAGGUAAUGGCUUACCAAGGCGACGACGGGUAGCCGGCCUGAGAGGGUGACGGGCCAAACGGGGGCGGGGACACGGCCCGACCCCCUAGGGGGGGCAGCGGUGGGGAAUAUUGAAAAAGGGGCGGAAGCCGGAGGCAGGGACGCCGGGUGGGGGAUGAGGGCCUUGGGGUUGUAACCCUUUGUUGGCAUCAAAGAAGCGAAAGGGGCGGAAGGUGAAAAGAAAGCCGCGGUUAACUAGUG
rnacentral:rRNA from 1 species